rnacentral:rRNA from 1 species
UGGAUCCAGACUUUGAUUCUGGCUCAGGAUGAACGCUAGCUACAGGCUUAACACAUGCAAGUCGAGGGGCAUCAGUUUGGUUUGCUUGCAAACCAAAGCUGGCGACCGGCGCACGGGUGAGUAACACGUAUCCAACCUGCCUCAUACUCGGGGAUAGCCUUUCGAAAGAAAGAUUAAUAUCCGAUAGCAUAUAUUUCCCGCAUGGGUUUUAUAUUAAAGAAAUUCGGUAUGAGAUGGGGAUGCGUUCCAUUAGUUUGUUGGCGGGGUAACGGCCCACCAAGACUACGAUGGAUAGGGGUUCUGAGAGGAAGGUCCCCCACAUUGGAACUGAGACACGGUCCAAACUCCUACGGGAGGCAGCAGUGAGGAAUAUUGGUCAAUGGACGCGAGUCUGAACCAGCCAAGUAGCGUGAAGGAUGACUGCCCUAUGGGUUGUAAACUUCUUUUAUAUGGGAAUAAAGUGGUCCACGUGUGGAUUUUUGUAUGUACCAUAUGAAUAAGGAUCGGCUAACUCCGUGCCAGCAGCCGCGGUAAUACGGAGGAUCCGAGCGUUAUCCGGAUUUAUUGGGUUUAAAGGGAGCGUAGGCGGAUUGUUAAGUCAGUUGUGAAAGUUUGCGGCUCAACCGUAAAAUUGCAGUUGAUACUGGCAGUCUUGAGUGCAGUAGAGGUGGGCGGAAUUCGUGGUGUAGCGGUGAAAUGCUUAGAUAUCACGAAGAACUCCGAUUGCGAAGGCAGCUCACUGGAGUGUAACUGACGCUGAUGCUCGAAAGUGUGGGUAUCAAACAGGAUUAGAUACCCUGGUAGUCCACACAGUAAACGAUGAAUACUCGCUGUUUGCGAUAUACAGUAAGCGGCCAAGCGAAAGCAUUAAGUAUUCCACCUGGGGAGUACGCCGGCAACGGUGCAACUCAAAGGAAUUGACGGA